rnacentral:rRNA from 1 species
AUACAGGGGGGGCAAGCGUUGUUCGGAAUUACUGGGCGUAAAGGGCUCGUAGGCGGCCAACUAAGUCACACGUGAAAUCCCCAGGCUUAACCUGGGAACUGCGUGUGAUACUGGAUGGCUUGAAUUCGGGAGAGGGAUGCAGAAUUCCAGGUGUAGCGGUGAAAUGCGUAGAUAUCUGGAGGAAUACCGGUGGCGAAGGCGGCAUCCUGGACCGACAUUGACGCUGAUGAGCGAAAGCUAGGGGAGCAAACG